rnacentral:sRNA from 1 species
UCACUAUCAUCAUCGCUGACAUACACAGC